CUAUGAAGGUGGAAGUGAAAAACAAAGUUCGUCUUGUAAGAUCGAUGACGUUGAGCUGUGUUACAUUCUGUAUUGAAACAGUAACAGAGCGACCAUACUUAAGGUUCGCGAGGAAUAUGUUCCCAUAUGCAUGGAGAUUGAUCUGCAUGGAUUAUCAGUCCCUUAAUGAUGGAACUCCUGAUGUGAGGAAUGCAGCUUUCUCAGCUUUGGCGGCUAUUUCCAAGAUGGUUGGCAUGAGACCUUUGGAAAAGUCUCCAGAAAAAUCCGGAUGAUGUCAGACAAAAGAAGUAUCUGAAAUGAUUGGGGGUCGAUGGGGGAUCCUUAUGCUCUUCCAAACUCAGGUGUGAUUCAAUCUUCUCGAGGAGUUAUGACAACGAGUUUCCUCUGAACUAGUAGAAUGGAUAUGAAGCAAACCACUUGCGGAUCUUUGCUGCAGCAACUGCAGAAAUGAAUCUUUUUUCCUGCAGCAAAUUUUGGAUAAAUUUGGUGAAAAUUACGAAGAGCGGGACAAAAUUCUUCUUCAAUUGGAUCAGGAGUGCUUGGAUGUGUACAAGAGAAAAGUUGACCUGACAUUGAAAUCUAGAGCCCACCUUCUUCAGACACUGGCAGAUGCUAGAGUUGAACUCACCAAUCUAUUAUCAGCUUUUGGAGAAAAGAAUUAUGUCGGAAAUCCUGACAAGACGUCAGGAACGAACAAGGAACAGCUUCAAGGUAUAGCUCCUGCACUGGAUAAACUAUGGAAACAAAAGGAUGGGAAGAUAAAAGUGUAUUCUGAUGUUCAAUCUCAAAUACAGAACAUAUCUGCCGAGAUUGCUGGAACUAGUGUCCAGGUUGAGAAUAUCACAGUUGAUGAGGCCAAUCUAUCCAUGAAAAAAUUAGAUAGAGUUUAAUGCCCAGCUUCAAGAUCUUCAAAAGGAAAAGGUCUUUCUUGGUUUUUUAAGUUGACAGGCUGCACAAGUUUAUUGACUUGUCAGCACAGUUCACGAUCUUUGUUCUGUCCUUGCUCCUGGUGAUUUUUCAGAACUUUGUCGAACAUUAAAGAAGGUUAUCACCGAUGUUAACAUUACUGUGGGAAAAUAAAGAAAAAAAAGGAAAAAAAAAAGAAAAAGAGGAAAAAAAAAGAAAUAAAAAAGGAAAAAAGGGCAUCCUUGGUAGGGAUCCGAGAACCCUUCAUAAAAAAAAGGAAAUACAGGAAGAAAAAAAAAAGAAAAAAAAACAUUGCUGUUGCAGUUGAAGCUAUUCAAGCAUUGGGCAACUUUGCUAUGGAUCUGAGAACCCAUUUUUUGGCAAGAUGUCGCUUCUUAUUGCCUCUACUAUUGGAGAAAUUGUAGGAGAAGAAACCUACUUCAACUGAGGCCCUUACCCAAACUCUUCAGGCAAUGCCUAAGUCCAGAUACUUGAGUGUAAAUGACACUGUUGAAGGCAUGAUUUUCCUUUAUUUCAUUUCUGAACUGUUGUUUAACCUCUGCAUAAUAUCAUUUCCUUGUGCUUAGAAGUAGUAUCUUGUUUGCUUUCUAGCCUUUUCUCCAGCACUUUCCCGUUUUUUUAAUUUUUUAUUGUCUUCUAUAA